CACGGGGGGAGCAAGCGUUGUUCGGAAUCACUGGGCGUAAAGAGCGUGUAGGCGGUCCGGUAAGUCAGCUGUGAAAGUCAAGGGCUCAACCCUUGAAAGCCGGUUGAUACUGUCGGGCUAGAGUCCGGAAGAGGCGAGUGGAAUUCCCGGUGUAGCGGUGAAAUGCGCAGAUAUCGGGAGGAACACCAAUGGCGAAGGCAGCUCGCUGGGACGGUACUGACGCUGAGACGCGAAAGCGUGGGGAGCAAGCAGG
rnacentral:rRNA from 1 species